CAUUAUAAACUUACGAGUAACUUCCUUCUCCCAAAAUCAAUUAAUCUACCCUCGUACUUUGAAUUCUCCUCCAUUGAAGCGACUAUCUAAUCUUUUUCCUCCAUUGAAGCUACCUCCAAGCUUUCUUCUAUCCUCCAUUAAAGCAAUUUCUGAGCUUUCCCCUUUAUGAAAUCAGAGUUCAUUGUUUCGUAAGCUUGAAGAUUUGUUAGCAAAUUGCUGGAGUUCUCGCUCGCUCGGCAUUCUGAUCUUUUUCCUCCAUUGAAGCGACUUUGAGCUUUCUCAGUUUCGAUCUCUAACCCCCCAUUGAAGCAACUUCUAGAUUAGUGGCGGGUGGCGGCAGAGGUGGAGGAGGUCUUCAAUUGUUUGCUCAUUAGAGCUUCUUCUAGUCAAACCGAAUGGAGAGAUAUAGUGGAAUCACCAAAUCAAGAGAAAUAGGACUACAAGAUCAAGCAUAAUGAAAUGAGAACAUUAAUAAAAUUAUCAAAAGGGGAGUGAUAUACCAUGAGUUGAGCAUUGGAAGUUUGGAGACGAUGGAAAGAAGUACUUUUGUCAAGGCCACAAGAAACAUGCUUGCAUCAUGUAGCUGUAGAUGUCACUAUUGCUGCUGCUGUUGUUACUGAUGUUUGUUGAUGCUACUGAUGUUUGUUGAUGCUACUGAUGUUUGCUGCUGCUGCUAUUUGUUGGCCUGGUAAUACAUAGUGCUGACUAUUGUUACUCCAAGCUGCUGCUAUCUGCUGUUACUUCUAGCUGCGUGUUGGCCUGCUGCUAUCUGCUGUUACAAUUAGGUGAUGUCUGGGGCUGAUGACUGUUGUUACUACUACCUACUGGCUGCUGCUAUUGGCUUUGGACUUUGAUGGUCUAAUCUAGAGAUCGAAGUUGACUUUCUAUUUGUUUUGUUUAUUAGAUUAUUUAGCCAAGCAAAAAAAAAUUGGUAUUUAUGGAAUUUCUUUUUAAGAAACUAUGAAAUUAUAUCAAUCCUAAUUAUUGUA